rnacentral:rRNA from 1 species
CCUACGGGUGGCUGCAGUGGGGAAUAUUGGACAAUGGGGGGAACCCUGAUCCAGCCAUGCCGCGUGUGUGAAGAAGGCCCUCGGGUUGUAAAGCACUUUCAGUGAGGAAGAACGCCUGGUGGUUAAUACCCAUCAGGAAAGACAUCACUCACAGAAGAAGCACCGGCUAACUCCGUGUCAGCAGCCGCGGUAAUACGGAGGGUGCGAGCGUUAAUCGGAAUUACUGGGCGUAAAGCGCGCGUAGGUGGCUUGAUAAGCCGGUUGUGAAAGCCCCGGGCUCAACCUGGGAACGGCAUCCGGAACUGUCAAGCUAGAGUGCAGGAGAGGAAGGUAGAAUUCCCGGUGUAGCGGUGAAAUGCGUAGAGAUCGGGAGGAAUACCAGUGGCGAAGGCGGCCUUCUGGACUGACACUGACACUGAGGUGCGAAAGCGUGGGUAGCAAACAGGAUUAGAUACCCUUGUAGUC